AUUGGAUGAGUUAUCAAGUUUUCUUUAUAGGAAUUUUAAAUUUAAUGUUGAUGAAUGUGCUGUAAUGACAGUGGAAAUGGAGUCCGAUAAAUUGUUGAAAAUCGGCGGAAGACGUAAAAAAACGAGCACCGAAACACAACAAAGAAGAAAUUUAGAGCGGCGGAUGAACCGAAAUUAUUAGAGAAAAAUUACACAACAAAAAAUAUGUUUUGAUCGAAUUUAGAUUAAACCCAACAAUCGCAAAUCAUCCUUACAUUGCAGCAUAAGUUGGCCGAUUUAGGGAAGAGGAAGGAAAGUUUUAUCGGAAUAAGUUCGUUGCAGGCGAGUGGCAUUUUUAUUUCAAAAUUAAAACGUUAUUUUAUUGUUUAAAACGUUUAGAAGUUAAAAACGUUUUAGAGUAUAAAAAAUAUUUUUUUUGGCCCGCAUGGGGGUCGA